rnacentral:rRNA from 1 species
GAAAUGCUUAGAUAUCACGAAGAACUNCGAUUGCGAAGGCAGCUUGCUGGACUNUAACUGACGCUGAGGCACGAAAGCGUGGGGAUCAAACAGGAUUAGAUACCCUGGUANNNCACGCCGUAAACGAUGAAUGCUAGCUGUUAGCGAUAUACUGUUAGCGGCACAGAGAAAUCGUUAAGCAUUCCACCUGGGGAGUACGCCGGCAACGGUGAAACUCAAAGGAAUUGACGGGGGCCCGCACAAGCGGAGGAACAUGUGGUUUAAUUCGAUGAUACGCGAGGAACCUUACCUGGGCUUAAAUUGCAGUGGAAUAACGUGGAGACAUGUUAGCCUUCGGGCCGCUGUGAAGGUGCUGCAUGGUUGUCGUCAGCUCGUGCCGUGAGGUGUCGGCUUAAGUGCCAUAACGAGCGCAACCCUCAUCGAUAGUUACUAACAGGUUAAGCUGAGGACUCUAUCGAGACUGCCAGCGUAAGCUGUGAGGAAGGUGUGGAUGACGUCAAAUCAGCACGGCCCUUACGUCCAGGGCUACACACGUGUUACAAUGGGGGGUACAAAGGGCAGCUACCUGGCGACAGGAUGCUAAUCUCAAAAACCUCUCUCAGUUCGGAUUGGAGUCUGCAACCCGACUCCAUGAAGCUGGAUUCGCUAGUAAUCGCGCAUCAGCCACGGCGCGGUGAAUACGUUCCCGGGCCUUGUACACACCGCCCGUCAAGCCAUGGGAGCCGGGGGGACCUGAAGUAUGCAACCGUAAGGAGCGUCCUAGGGUAAAACUGGUGACUGGGGCU